UCUUGCUAUUAGAUGAGCCUAAAUCAGAUUAGCUAGUUGGUGGGGUAAAGGCCCACCAAGGCGACGAUCUGUAACUGGUCUGAGAGGAUGAUCAGUCACACCGGAACUGAGACACGGUCCGGACUCCUACGGGAGGCAGCAGUGGGGAAUAUUGGACAAUGGGGGCAACCCUGAUCCAGCCAUGCCGCGUGUGUGAAGAAGGCCUUUUGGUUGUAAAGCACUUUAAGCAGGGAGGAGAGGCUAAUGGUUAAUACCCAUUAGAUUAGACGUUACCUGCAGAAUAAGCACCGGCUAACUCUGUGCCAGCAGCCGCGGUAAUACAGAGGGUGCGAGCGUUAAUCGGAAUUACUGGGCGUAAAGCGAGUGUAGGUGGCUCAUUAAGUCACAUGUGAAAUCCCCGGGCUUAACCUGGGAACUGCAUGUGAUACUGGUGGUGCUAGAAUAUGUGAGAGGGAAGUAGAAUUCCAGGUGUAGCGGUGAAAUGCGUAGAGAUCUGGAGGAAUACCGAUGGCGAAGGCAGCUUCCUGGCAUAAUAUUGACACUGAGAUUCGAAAGCGUGGGUAGCAAACAGGAUUAGAUACCCUGGUAGUCCACGCCGUAAACGAUGUCUACUAGCCGUUGGGGUCCUUGAGACUUUAGUGGCGCAGUUAACGCGAUAAGUAG
rnacentral:rRNA from 1 species